rnacentral:rRNA from 1 species
UACGUAGGGUGCGAGCGUUAAUCGGAAUUACUGGGCGUAAAGCGCGUGUAGGCGGCCAGGAAGGUCCGCUGUGAAAACUCGAGGCUCAACCUCGAGAUGUCGGCGGAAACCCUCUGGCUAGAGUCCGGAAGAGGAGAGUGGAAUUCCCGGUGUAGCGGUGAAAUGCGCAGAUAUCGGGAAGAACACCCGUGGCGAAGGCGGCUCUCUGGGACGGUACUGACGCUGAGACGCGAAAGCGUGGGGAGCGAACAGG